AAGAAACAGAAAAAGAGAGAGGUGAUCCCGGGACACGGAGAAAGAAGAGAACGCCUCUCUGUUUCUGACAAAACGCCUCUCUGUUUCUCUCACUAAGAUCAGAGUAAAAGUCCCCUCUACCCACAAACAACGCCUCCGAUGGGUUCUAUUCUUUCUCUGAUUUUUUUUAGAGAUGAAGUGGAAUCUUUCCACAAUCUAGAGUCUCUAAUUUCAUCAAAUCAAGGUAUUGAGAGUUGAAUGUAAGAAAAUUCCCAACAAAUUGCUUUGUAAUUUAUGCCCACCACAACAUUUAGUUUAGUCCCUUGCAAACAACGGUUUCUUGCAUCUAUUAUUUUAUUUUUUGUAUGUUU